GGCCUGUGAAAGGCACGUGCAGCUUUCUCAGAUGCUGACUAGUGAAUAGGGUGAGGAUGUUCUGACCCUGAGGGCAGGACACUGGUGCUUUUCAGAAUUGGUGACUCACUUUCUGACAACCUUCAUUUUUACUGUAUAAGCAAUUUCAAGAGUCUCUAGUGCUUAAGGUUUGGCACCAACUCUGAAGGGCAGCAGAACAACCAAACUCCAGCUCACAGGUAGUACAAACACUACUCUAUGUUAACCUCACCAUCUUGGCUUUUACUCCCAAGAGAUUUAAAUACUUUGCCUUUUUAGUCACUAUAAUUCUCAUUUGAAGGGGAGAAAAUUCGUUUUUUUAGAUGCCCACUUACAGAUAACUAGAUUUUUUUCAAUAUCUAAACUUUUUAACAUGAGAAAGAUGGCUGUAUCUUAGAGAUUACCAAAAAGACUUGUUUUCAUCAGGUAAUUAAAAGUAAUAGAGAUGACAAUGUGGUUUUUUUUAAGUCCUCCAAAACUAAGGUGCUCCUACCCACAGAUGGCAUAUCUUGCAAAGGGCUAAGAACUGUUUUGGGUUCCUUCUCUCUGUGUUACUUUGAUGUUAUAAAUAGUGCUGAAUUUGUCUAAACAGAAUUGAGAGGUCAUAGAAAUCCUUAACAGGGUAACAAUUCCAAGGUUUCCGAACCUGGGUGUUAGUGUGGACUCGUUCAUCAGACUUUGAACAGAACAUUUUGCCACCUUUGCUACUCAAAACCAAUUUUAUGUUGCCAACACAGGGCAGUGUUGAAGCACCAUAAUUUCGCGUAUCUUCAGAAAUCAGAAAUAGCAUUAUAACUGAUGUAAUCCCAGACUUUACUGCAAUUUACUAAUUAAAACAAUGGUCCUGUGUGGGUAGGUGACAAUUUUUGAUAAAACAGGUAUUACUAUUUUUGUUAUACAUGAAAAUGGCUUUCUUUUUUUAAAAAAUCCCUUUCAAAUUAAAAAUACCUUUUGGAGUAUUAGUUACUUUACAUUAUCUGUAAUAUGUAACCUCUCUCCAAGUUUACCCAAAGGGAAUGCAAAAUCUGAAUAUCCCACCAUCUUUUAAGAUGGUCCUUUAGUCCAAUGAAAACAUGCUACAUCUUUAAAACUCCAGCCAUAAAAAUUACAAGUGCUCAGUGCCCUUAGGAGGUCUGUAUGUAAAAGAAACCCAAAAUCUAGGUGAAUUUAAUGAAAUAACAUACUUCAUACAUAUACAAUGUAGGGAGGUGGGCAGGGGCUCUAUUGGAUUUUCUCUGAAGUAAACCAUUUUAGAGAGCUAUCUGCUGUUAUCCCCAGUGCCUUGAACUCUUUAGAGGAAUAGCAUUUAAAAACAACAAAAAACCACAAGUAAACUUUUGAGGUGCUAAUGAAAGAGAAGGAAGGUAAGUACUUUUGAAGUUUGGGCAGAAAUGGGAAGGGGGUGACUCUUAAAAGAGUUUUUCAUCCAUCUACAUGGAAUCUGGCUGUUUCCUCUCAAAGAUGUUUAGAAAAGUGGUUCAAGUCAAUACUGAGCCAUACUUAAGAUCUGGCCAAACUGGGAGCAUGUUGUUCAUGAGCUGUGAAUUUCAAGAAUCAGCUUAGAAAGACAUGGUUGCAGCAGUAGGGGAGACAUUUUUUUUUAAACUAUCCAUUAAAUUUGUUACAACUUAAUACCAAAACCUGACGUUUUUUCAUAAUUCCACCUCCUAGUUCUUCCUGUAUUUGUAAAUAGUCCCUCCUAGAAAAUAAGCAUCAACUGGAAUGUGUCAAAUGACUUUGCUUAGUUUUACUAUCAGCCACUAGUGAACUCUUCUUCCUGAGAUGCAUAAGGUAAAAUAGGAUUAGCUUGUGCUAAGUGUUGUAAAAAUACUGUUUACUGUUUUCAAAGAGAAUUGCACAGUAUCUUUAACUGGGGUUGUCCUCUUCUGUUUCUUUUUAAAAAAAAAAUGGAGUCAAGGCUCACUCUGACUUCUAGCUGUGGGAAUUCUGUCAUAGAUAUAAUGUAGAAAUAUACUUUUUUAAAGCAUGAAGAAAACAAAAAUGUACCUGAAAGAGGACAUUAUUCAGAGGAUUAUGCACAGCUCGAUAAGGAUGAAGUUGUGGUUUUCUUUCAGCCUUGUUGCUAUUAUUUUCUUCUGCAUAAAUGUACACUCAUUUCAUUAUGUGCCUUGCUCCCUGAUUGUGCAAAGCUAUAUAUAUACACACAAAUAUAUAUAUAUAUAUGAGAGAG
rnacentral:lncRNA from 1 species